rnacentral:lncRNA from 1 species
GGACAUUGUUAGAGAACGAGCAAUUAAAUUCCUUUCUACAAAACUUAAGACUUUACCAGAUGAAGUCUUAACAAAGGAAGUGAAAGAGCUUAUACUAACUGAAUCCAAAAUGUCCUAGAAGAUGUGACUGGUGAAGAAUUUGUUCUAUUAUGAAGAUACUGUCUGGGCUAAAAAGCUUACAGUGAGUGGAAGAUAGCAACUUGUAGGGUUGGUGGCUGAACAGGCCGACCUAGAACAGACCUUCAAUCCCUCGGAUCUUGACUGUGUGUACAGGCUCUUACAGUGCACUCGGCAAGCAGUACCCCUCUUCUCUAGAAUUAUCCAUUCCACAAGGUUUGUGACAUAUUUCUGUGAGCAGGUUCUCCCUAACCUCAGUACCUUGACUACCCCAGUGGAAGGUCUUGAUAUACAGUUGGAGGUAUUGAAAUUGUUGGCUGAGAUGAGUUCAUUUUGUGGUGACAUGGAAAAACUAGAAACAAAUUUAAGAAAACUAUUUGAUAAGUUAUAGGAAUACAUGCCGCUCCCUCCAGAAGAAGCAGAAAAUGGAGAGAAUGCUGGUAAUGAAGAACCCAAGCUACAGUUCAGCUGCAGUACUUUGCACGGGGCCUGCAAAUUUAUAUCAGACAACUUCGCUUAGCUCUCCAGGGUAAAAGCUCUCCAGGGUGAGGCCUUAAAAACAGAAGAGAACAAGAUUAAAGUCGUUGCAUUGAAAAUAACAAACAAUAUCAAUGCUUUAAUCAAGGAUCUCUUCCACAUUCCUCCUUCUUAUAAGAGCACAGUAACACUAUCCUGGAAACCUGUACAAAAGGUUGAGAUUGGGCAAAAGAGAGCCAGUGAAGAUACAACUUCAGGUUCACCACCCAAGAAAUCUUCAGCAGGACCAAAAAGAGAUGCCAGGCAGAUUUAUAACCCUCCCAGUGGGAAAUAUAGCAGCAAUUUGAGCAACUUUAAUUAUGAGAGGAGCCUUCAGGGGAAGUAGAGGUGGCCGAGGUUGGGGCACACGAGGAAAUCGUAGUCGGGGAAGACUCUACUGAAUAAGACGUCAGCAUUCUUCAGCAUUGUC